rnacentral:rRNA from 1 species
UGUGGUUAGCGGUGAAAUGCCAAUCGAACUCGGAGAUAGCUGGUUCUCCUCGAAAUAGCUUUAGGGCUAGCGUUGUGUUAGUAAUCAUCAGGGGUAGAGCUCUGAAAAGGUUCGGGGCCGGCAACGGUACCCACCCUUAUCAAACUACGAAUACUGGUGGUGUAACCACAGCAGUCAGAACGGCGGGGCUAAGCUCGUCGCUCAAAAGGGAAACAGCCCAGAUCAUCGUCUAAGGUCCCUAAUUAACACUAAGUGGGAAACAAAGUGAAAUUUCUUAAACAGCUAGGAUGUUGGCUUAGAAGCAGCCAUUCAUUUAAAGAGUGCGUAACAGCUCACUAGUCAAGAGAUUUUGCGUGGAAAAUGUAACGGGGCUAAAGUGUUAAACCGAAGACAUGGACUUCUGCUUAUGCAGGAGUGGUAGAGGAGCGUUGAUAUCGCAGUGAAGUCAGAUUGUAAAGUCUGGUGGAGCGUUAUCAAGUGAGAAUGCUGGAAUCAGUAACCUUAAGACAGGUGAGAAUCCUGUCGGUCGUAAGAGCAAGGUUUCCAGGGCCACAGUAAUUGUCCCUGGGUUAGUCGGUCCUAAGCCGAGGCGUAUCAGCGUAGGCGAUGGACAACAGGUUAAUAUUCCUGUACAGGUAGUAGUUGUGAACAGUUCACGGUGAAUGACCGGAGCGGAUUAAUGGUUUAUCCGUCCAAGUCUCUAGGGAACUAGAGGUGAGUGAAAGGUAAUCUUCGGAUUAUUAAUUCCGGGUGAAGCACUGGCUAGAAAAGCUGGUUCACUUAUGCUGCUGCCUACCGUACCGCAAACCAACACCGGUGCUCGGGUCGAGUAGACCAAGACCUACGUGAGAACCUUCGCUAAGGAACUCGGCAAAAAAGCGUCCGUAACUUCGGAAUAAGGACUGCCCUCUCAUUAAGAUGAGGAUUUGCUAGAAACUCAGCAGAAGAUUCAGAGUUAUGUUACUUAUUUACUAAUAAUUUAUUUUACUUCGAGACCAUAAGCUCGGCCGAACGGCCUUGAGUGUGUCGAGAAGAAAAUAAAUUUUAGUUAUUAAAUUAAAUAUUUACCUUAAUACUGAAUUUUUUCGUUGAGACAGAACACAAAUCAGGAUUUGUUUUAGCAAAUUCGUGUCUUUUCUAGUAGUCUAAUCGUCAUUUUGAUGAGAGGGCCGCAGCUAAAGAGCCCACGGAACUGUUUACCAAAAACAUAGGUCUCUGCUAACGCGAAAGCGGAUGUAUAGGGGCUGACUCCUGCCCGGUGUCGGAAGGUUAAGGGGAGAGCUUUACGGUUCGAACUGAAGCCCCGAUGAACGGCGGCGAUAACUAUGAUCGUCCUAAGGUAGCGAAAUUCCUUGUCUGGUAAGUUCAGACCCGCACGAAUGGAGUAAUCAUGUGGGCACUGUCUCGGCGAAGGCCACGGUGAACGUGCAUUGGCGGUAAAGAUGCCGUCUGAUCAUGCCAGGACGAGAAGACCCCAUGGAGCUUUACUACAACUUUGCAUUGAUUAUUGGGACAUUUUGUGUAGAAUAGGUGGAAGACUUUGAAGCAGAUACGCUAGUAUUUGUGGAGUCGAAAUGUGAAAUACCACCCUGAAUGUUUUAGUAAUCUCACUUUUGACCUGAUCGGCCAAAAGGACCGUGCAUGGCGGGUAGUUUAACUGGGGCGGUUGCCUCCUAAAGAGUAGCGGAGGCGUUCAAAGGUUGGCUAACUACGGAUGGAAAUCGUAGUGAUAGUGUAUGCGCAAAAGCCAGCUUGACUGUGAGGGCCACAACCCAAUCAGACACGAAAGUGGGAGCAAAUGACCCGCUGUACAGAACUUCGGUUCAAUUUACGUGGGAAAGACAGCGCACACGGAUAAAAGUUACCCUGGGGAUAACAGGCUGAUCGCGCCCAAUAGUUCACAUAGACGGCGCGGUUUGGCACCUCGAUGUCGGCUCAUCACAUCCUGGAGGGGGAGCACCUUCCAAGGGUUCGGCUGUUCGCCGAUUAAAGUGGUACGCGAGCUGGGUUCAGAACGUCGUGAGACAGUUCGGUUUAUAUCCGGCAUGAUCGUUAGGAAUUUUGAGGAGAUCUACCCUUAGUACGAGAGGACCGGGGCGGACGAAUCUCUAGUGUAUCGGUUGUGACCACCUGUUGCAUCGCCGAGUAGCUAUGUUCGGAAGAGAUAAGCGCUGAAAGCAUAUUAAGCGCGAAGCCCACUCCAAGAUUAGAAUUCCCUAUGAGAUCCCAGAGAGAAGAUCUGGUUGAUAGGCGCAAGAUGGAAGUACCGCAAGGUAUGGAGUCGAAGCGUACUAAUAGAUCCAUCGCCUUUUUAUG